GCGGGCUUGGACUGCAGCUCCCACCACCAUCGCGAUCUUACCCGUACGGUUGCCUCGGCGCUGGCGGUCCGGAAGGCCCUCGGGCCCCCGGAUCCUCGGGUCUCCCGCUCGCGGGAGGCUGCCCGCCGGAGUGCCGAAACCAAACUCUUGAUAUUUUAUGUCUCUCUGAGUAAACUUUUAAAUAAGUCAAAACUUUCAACAACGGAUCUCUUGGUUCUGGCAUCGAUGAAGAACGCAGCGAAAUGCGAUAAGUAAUGUGAAUUGCAGAAUUCAGUGAAUCAUCGAAUCUUUGAACGCACAUUGCGCUCGCCAGUAUUCUGGCGAGCAUGCCUGUUCGAGCGUCAUUUCAACCAUCAAGCUCUGCUUGCGUUGGGGAUCCGCGGCUGCCCGCGGUCCCUCAAAAACAGUGGCGGGCUCGCUAGUCACACCGAGCGUAGUAACUCUACAUCGUUCUGGUCGUGCGGCGGGUUCUUGCCGUAAAACCCCCCAAUUUCUAAGGUUGACCUCGGAUCAGGUAGGAAUACCCGCUGAACUUAAGCAUAUCAAUAAGCGGAGGAA
rnacentral:rRNA from 1 species